CUCAAUGGUAGAGCGUAAUGAGCCGUCUAUGACGGGCUGUCUUCCUGUGAUGGCAGUUUUCCACCUUGCUACGCUCUACCGCCC
rnacentral:antisense_RNA from 21 species